CUGACUUCCCGGGAGCAGUUCCUGAUGCCUUUCCCGUCUUUUCUCUCUAGCUCUUGUCCCAUUCGGGAGUGGAGAACAUGCAGGUGAUUCUUGCAUGCCAGGCCGCUCAGAAAAACGCUUUGAUGGUGGCUGUUCAGCAGGCAGCCUUUUACCACACCCUGCCAGAAGGCUUGCCAUCUGCUGCCCAGGGCGGCCCGGGAGACGCAGAGGCGGGGGCACCACCACCAGAAAUAAGUUCGAAUCUGAGAACUCAAGGCGUAAUGAGCCCAACCAGAAGAAGUCCCAGAACUGUGAACGGGAGAGGAGUCCCCGAUCUCCUUCCUCAUUCUCCAGAGAGAGUCCAGACCACCGCCAGGUACUGUGCCCAGUGGGAGGACUGUUUAGGAUAACAAACAUCUCCUCUGCUAAGUCAGUACUGCAGUGCCAUGGGAUUGAAGGCGCCUCGCGUUCAGAGUUCCCG
rnacentral:lncRNA from 1 species